UUUUUCUCUUCACUCUAGAUAGAUGACUUAGAAAUAAGUGUACUACUCUCAUAUAGUGGUGUCUUGACACUGCAUGGGAGAAAUACAUACUAUUAAAGGAUAUGCUCUAUUUUUUAUUUAAGAAACUUCUUGUUUCAUUCUGAAACAAGAAUGAACUUUUUGUUAGCUUGUGUUAUCUGAGUUACAGCUUUAAGAAGAUACAUUUGUUCUCUUUCACUAUAGCCCAGUGCUAACACCAAUAAGCCUUCUUUAUUUCUAGGUAUAUAGUUAGCUAUGGAAGCCGAAAUUAUCUUUAGUACACAAAAAUUGUUCUUUCUUUCUUGAAUAUUUAUAAGGGGUUCAAGUAAGCUACUAAGAUAAUGCCAAUGUUGGAUGCUUCUAGAGAGAUAGGCUUCUUACCACUCAAUUACUAUUAGCCAUAUGCCUUUUCUUUUAGAAAUGUUUAUGCUUCUAACAUAUAAUCCUAUUAAUGUUUUUUUUUAACAAAUAUUCAGUUUAUGCACUUCCAAAGCUUAUUGUAUAAGCUCUUUUUUAUCCCUAGUAUCUUGCAUUGUGCUUGGGAUAAAGAACAGUGGCCAAGAAAUUUUUGAUCUGUGUAGGUAAAUGAAUAGCAAAUAUCUCAGUUCCUCCUUUGUUGGUUUAGGUUAACCUUUGUUUGUAGGUUUUUGAAAUCUAAAUGCAUCUUCUAAUUCUAACCUAUUUCUGUCAUUCUUUGUCACAAGCUGAUGAAAAAUGUUUUGCAUUUAUUGUUAAUUUGUCAUUUAGCAGAUUGAAAUUAGUUAACUGGAGUGUGUUACCAUAUUUAAUCCUUUGCAAUAGGUAAUAGUCCCUUUGCUCAAGACUUUAUAAAUUAUUUUUAACGUUUAUUUAUUUUUGAGACAGAGAGAGACAGAGCAUGAAUGGGGGAGGGUCAGAGAGAGAGGGAGACACAGAAUCCAAAGGAGACUCCAGGCUGUGAGCUGUCAGCACAGAGCCUGAUGCAGGGCUCGAACUCACGGACUAUGAGAUUCAUGACCUAAGCCGAAAUCGGACGCUUAACCGACUGAGCCACCCAGGCGCCCCAGGACUCAAGACUUUAAUAAGUAGUAGAGUUAUAAUUUGAACCUGAGGUAGUUCUCUUCCCGUUAUACUUUGUUUUCAGUUUUUACUUUUAUGUACUUGUGUGAUUUUUAAUUUUUUUAUUACUUUUUUUUUAAAGUUUAUUUAUUUUGAGAGAGAGCAAAAGAGUGCAAGCUGGGAAGGGGAAGAGAGAGGGAGAGACAGAAUCCCAAGCAGGCUCUGCGCCAUCAGCACAGAGUCCGAUGUGGGGCUCAAUCCCACGAAACAUGAGAUCAUGACCUGAGCUGAGAUCAAGAGUCGGACUCUUAACCAACUGAGCCACCUAGGCACCCCAUCUUGUGUGAUUUUUUUAGAUUACUUGGGAAUUCAGUCAUUCAGUAAAUGUUCAUUAAGUAACUGUUACAUUCUGAGCACUUCUAAGCAUUGAAGAUACAUCAGUGAGAAAACUGAAAUUCCUGUCCUUAUGUUCUGACAUUCUGGUAUGCCUCAAAGCUUAAAUACACCUGGCUUUAGAACCAUUUCUUUCUUCCUUCUUCUGCUAUCUCCUUGAGUCAGCAUGUAACCAACAAUAAUAUUCUUUUACAACAUAGUCUUUAAAGGUGAUACUCUACCAAGAUUAUAGUAUAUUGCUAUGUUAUCACUUAACCUGGCCUAUUUCUAUAGGUGACUUAGUAAAUACUACUGAGGUAAUACCAGAGAAUAGAACAGUAUUAAACUUCUAAGAGGAAAUACUUAAGGAUUUGCUUUUAGUAACAUCAAGUAGAAGCCAAAGUUAAUUCUCAAAUGUGGAUGGGCUUGUUCUGAUGGAGAUAGGGAAUAAGGUAGGGAUAAGAGGAAAGAGCUGUAAGGGCUGGAGCCACUUUCCAUAGUAACCCCCCAAGACACUUCUGUAUUCUAGUUCUAAUUUUUUUAUUUUCUUCUAUCACUCUUCAUGGACUGGCUUUUUUACUUCUCUUUCCACGAUUACUUCUAAUCAUGUUUUCCCUUCUUGAUUUCUUGGAGAAAAGAAACAGUCUUGUUGUUAAGCCAUAUACAUACUUUGUCCAACUUUUCUAAUGUUUUUUUAAGUGCUGGUAAAAAUGGAAAAAUAAAAUAUUUUAAUUUUCUGCUUUGCGUCUUUCCUUCAGUUUCCUUAUGUUUCUUUCUCUACCUAAACUCUACCUCUGGAUCACUCUCUUACAGUUCUCUUUUAAUCUGCAGCUCGUAUCCCCAAGUUUAGAACAGAGUGGUCACACAAGAAUGUUAUACACCUAUCACUCCCUGUGUGUGUGCUUCUACAGCACUUUUUAUGUCCCUUAUAGCACACAAUAUUAUUUCCUAAUGAUGUGAUUGUGAGUUCCUUUGGGCUAGGGUUGUUAGUAAACAUUUACUGGCAUAUAAUAUAGUAGUAAACAUCUUUUAAAUGAACAUUAUCAUUUCUUUGUAAUUAUUUCAGGUUAGAGAAGUUCUUUUACAUAAUAGUACGUUCAAUUACACGAUAAUUUUGUUAUAUGAAUUUGGGGGAAAAAUUGAAGACUGGUCAAAGUGACAUGCACUUUCAGAUAUUCUUUAUUUUGCUAAAGUGCUUUUGAUAUGCAAAGACAAAACUAUGCUUGAAGCUGUUACUAUAAAGAUGGUUUUCAUUAGAAGUUUGAAACUCUAAGGAAUCUUCAAAGGCCAUAUAAUUAUGUAGCUUCCAAUACAUGAUCUCGAGCCACUGGGCUUCUGAGUGUAUCAGAGUCACCCAGGAGAUGUCUUACAGAGAUUCUAGGCCUCACUCAGACUUCUUGGGCUGUGGUGGCAAUUAUGGAAAUAUGUAUUUUAAAAAGCUUUAUAGUUUUAUUAACAUGAAUUAGAUUUGGGAAUCACUGAUUUACUCUAACCACACAGUAGAAAAGUUCUCCUUCUAACAUCUCUGGUAAGUGAUCCUCUGUUUUGGAUAUUUUAUUCAUUCUACUAUGGAAAAACUAUAAAUUAUUGUCAAGUUUUUCCUAAAUUGAACCUGAAAACUCCUUCUUUCUAGUGGCCACUUACUGGUUCUAGUUUUGUCCACUGGAGCAAUACAGAAUAAAUUUCCUUGUUUUAAGUGGUAGCCCUUUAUCUAUUCAAAAAUGUGUUAAGCCCAAAAAGUCAUCUCUUUUCCUUCCUUCCUUCCUUCUUUCUUUCUUUCUUUCUUUCUUUCUUUCUUUCUUUCUUUCUUUCUUUCUUUCUUUCUUUCUUUCUUUCUUUCUUUCUUUCAAGUUAGUUAACAUACAGUGUGGUCUUGGUUUUAGGAGUAGAACCCAGCGACUCGUCUCUUACAUAUGACACCCAGUUCUCAUCACUAAAAGUGCCCUCCUUAGUGCCCAUCACCCAUUUAACCUAUUCCUCUACCCACCUCCCCUCCAGCGACCCUUAGUUCUCUGUAUUUAAGAGUCUCUUACGGUUUGUCUCCCUGUUUUUAUCUUAUUUUUGCUUCCCUUCCCUUAUGUUCAUCUGUUGUGUUUCUUAAAUUCCACAUAGGAGUGAAAUCAUAUAUUUGUCUUUCUCUGACUGACUUAUUUUGCUUAGCAUAAUACUUGCUAGUUGCAUUCACAUUGUUGCAAAUGGCAAGAUUUCAUUUUUUUAAUUGCGAGUAAUAUUUCAUUGUAUGUAUAUAUGUACACACACCCCACAUCUUCUUUAUCCAUUCAUUAGUUAAUGGACAUUUGGGCUCUUUCCAUACUUUGUUGAUAGUGCUGCUAUAAACAUUAGAGUGCAUGUGCCCCUUCAAAUCAGCAUUUUUGUAUCUUUCGGAUAAAUACCUAGUAGUGCAAUUGCUGGGUCGUAGGGUAGGUCUGUUUUUAAUUUUUUGAGGAACCUCCAUACUGUUCUCCAUAGUGGCUGCACCAGUUUGCGUUCCAAAUAGCAGUGCAAAAAUGUUCCUCUUUCUCUGCAUUCUUGCCAACAUCUGUUGUUUCCGGAGUUGUUCAUUUUAGCCAUUCUGACAGGUGUGAGGUGGUAUCUCAUUGUGGUUUUGGUUUGUAUUUCCCUGAUGACGAGUGAGGCUGAGCAUCUUUUCAUGUGUCUGUUAGUCAUCUGGAUGUCUUCUUUGAAAAAGUGUCUGUUCAUGUCUUCUGCCCAUUUCUGCACUAGAUUAUUUGUUUUUUGGGUGUUGAGUUUGGUAAAUUCUUUCUAGAUUUUGGAUACUAACCCUUUAUCCAAUAGUCAUUUGCAAAUAUCUUCUCCCAUUCUGUAGGCUGCCUCUUAGUUUUGUUGAUUGUUUCCUUCACUGUGCGACAUCUCUCUUGUUUUUUAACCAUUUUUUGAUUAAGAUUUCUCUCGUACCACCCCAUGGUUUCUUUUUCAAGAUCUACUCUUUUUGGUGUGUUUAAGUUGUGAUCUUUCAGUUGUAGUUAAUAAUAAGCAAUGAAGUGAAACUAUUACUUUAUCUUGGUUUGAUAAUUUCAUUAAAGCAGCCUAAAUUUUGUUUAGUUUAGUUUUGGCAGCAGUGUCAUGUUGGCUUAUUGAACUUGUUUUUAAAGCUGCCUUUUUUUUUUAAACAUUUUUUUUAAAUGUUUAUUUAUAUUUGAGAGAGAAAGACAGAGGGUGAGAGGGGGGAGGGGCAGAGAGAGAGGGAGACCGAAUCCGAAGUAGGCUCCAGGUUCUGAGCUGUCAGCACAAAGCCCAAUGCAGGGCUCGAACUCACAAGCAGUGAGAUCAUGACCUGAGCCGAAGUCGGACGCUUAACCAACUGAGCCACCCCGGUGCCCCUCCCUCUCUUUAAAUACUGCAUUGCCUUAGUUAUUAUAGCAUUAUAAUAAGUGUUUGGUGGCAUAAACUUUGUGUUUUUCUCAAGAUUGUGUUGGCUAUUCUUAGCCCUUUGCUCUUUGAAUAUAUUUUAAAAUGCACUGGUCAAUUAAAAAGUUUGGGGAGUCAGUUACUGAAUCUGUCAGUUUGGGGAGAAUUCUUUGUAAUAUGAGUCUUCCAUUUCAUGAACAUAGACUAUCUCUCCAUGUUCUUUAAAGUUGGUCCUCUGGGGCACCUGGGUGGCUCAGUCCGUAAAGCAUCUGACUUCGGCUCAGGGCAUGGUCUCACGGUUCAUGAGUUUGAGCCCCUUGUCAGGCUGUGUGCUGACAACUCAGAGCCUGGAGCCUGCUUCAGAUUCUGUCUCUCUCUCUCUCUCUCUAGCCCCACUUCCUCUGCUUGCGCUCUGUCUCUCAAAACUGAAUAAAUGUUAAAAAAAAAAAAAAAUUAAAGUUGGUCCUAAGUUUCUUUUAAUAAUGGUUCGUAGUUUAGGUUUAUUUCUAGAUAUUUGAGUCUUGGUGAGGCUAUUACAAAUGGUAUUUUAGAUUUUUUAUUUUUUUAAUAUGCUGUUUCUGUACACGUAUAUGGAAAUAAAAUAGCUUUUUAUAUAUUGAUUAUACUAAAUUAGCUUACAGACUGAUUUGUAUUUUUUUUAUUUAAAAAAAUUUUAAUGUUUAUUAGUUUUGAGAGAGAGCUAGAGAGUGUGAGCUGGGGAGGGGCAGAGAGAGAGCGAGAGACACAGAAUCCGAAGCAGGUUCCAGGCCUCCAGCUGUCAGCACAGAGGCCAAGGUGGGCUUUGAACUCACAAACCGUGAGAUCAUGACCUGAGCCAAAGUCAGACACUUAAGCAACUGAGCCACCCAGGCAUCCCAGACUCAUUUGUAUUUUUGUAUAUUAUACAUAGACAUGUUUACUGUAAAUAAUCAUGGUUUUGUUUCUUCCUAUCCAGUUCUUAAUACUUUUUAUUUAUUUUUCUUGUUUUAUGGAAUUAGCUAGGGCCUCCAGAAUCCCACUGAAUAUAAGUAGCAAGUAUCUUUGUCUCAGUUUUAGUUUGAGGGGAAAGUUUUGAGUAUUUCACCAUUAUGUAUAAUAUUUGUUAUAUAUUCUUUAGGUCAUCUUGAUCAGAUUAGGAAGAUUAUCUCCCUUAAUUUGUCAAGAGAUUUUUUUCUAAAUAGGUGUUAAGGUUUUUUACAUCAUUGGAUUUUGUUAAGUUUGCUUAGGAAUAUUGCAUUUAUGUUCAUGGGUAAGAUUGGUUUGUAAUGCCUUUUGUCAGGUUUUCAUAAUAAAGUAUGCUGGCUUUGUAAAGUGAAUUGGGAAAUGUUCCUGCUUUUUUUAAAAAAAAAAUGCUCUCUCUCAAUUUGUUUAGGUCGGUGUUAUUUCUUUCUUAAAGGUUGGCAGGUUCCACUGGGGGCCUAGAGAUUUAUUUGUGGGAAAGUAUUAAAUAAUUCAAUUUCUUUGAUAAAUGUGAGACUAAUCAGGUCUUCAUUUAAAUCUUAUUUUAGUUUUGUAAAUUGUGUUUUUCAAGGAAUUCAUUUAUUUCAUUUAAAUUGUCAAAUUAUUUGUGUAAAGUUGUUUAAUAUCAUGUUUCUUUUUUUUUUAAAGGUGGAGAGAGUGCACACAUGAGCAGGGGAGGGGGAGAGAGAGAGAGAGAGAGAGAGAGAGAGAGAGAAUUGUAAGCAGGCUCCAUGCCCAGCACAGAGCCCCCACAUGUGAGUUGAUCUCACAACCAUGAGAUCACGACCUGAGUGUAAAUCAAGAGUCAGACGCUCAACCAGCUGAGCCACCCAGGCAGCCCUAUAAUAUCUUUUUAACACUGAAAAAGUUCAUAAUGAUGUUCUUUUUUCAUUUACUUAGUGAUUUGUGCUUUUUUUUUGAUUAGUGUUUCUAGAGAUCUGUGGAUUAGUCUCUUAGUUCUGUUGAUAUUCCCUGUUGUACAUUUGCUUUUUUUUUUUUUUUUUUAAGUAGGCUUCCCACCCAGCACAGAACCCAGUGUGGGGCUUGAA